rnacentral:rRNA from 1 species
AACGAACGCUGGCGGCAGGCUUAACACAUGCAAGUCGAGCGCCCCGCAAGGGGAGCGGCAGACGGGUGAGUAACACGUGGGAACGUACCUUUUGCUACGGAAUAGCUCCGGGAAACUGGAAUUAAUACCGUAUGUGCCCUUCGGGGGAAAGAUUUAUCGGCAAAAGAUCGGCCCGCGUCUGAUUAGCUAGUUGGUGGGGUAAUGGCCUACCAAGGCGACGAUCAGUAGCUGGUCUGAGAGGAUGAUCAGCCACACUGGGACUGAGACACGGCCCAGACUCCUACGGGAGGAAGCAGUGGGGAAUAUUGGACAAUGGGCGCAAGCCUGAUCCAGCCAUGCCGCGUGAGUGAUGAAGGCCUUAGGGUUGUAAAGCUCUUUCGCUAGGGAAGAUAAUGACGGUACCUAGAGAAGAAGCCCCGGCUAACUUCGUGCCAGCAGCCGCAGUAAGAC